GGUGGUGUAGCUCAGUGGUGGAGUGCAUACUUUGCGUGUAUGAGGCCAUGGGUUCCAUCCCUGGCAUCUCCA
rnacentral:tRNA from 1 species